UACGGAGGGGGCUAGCGUUGUUCGGAAUUACUGGGCGUAAAGCGCGCGUAGGCGGACCUGCAAGUCGGGGGUGAAAGCCCGAGGCUCAACCUCGGAACUGCCUUCGAUACUGCGGGUCUCGAGUCCGGGAGAGGUGAGUGGAAUUCCUAGUGUAGCGGUGAAAUGCGUAGAUAUUGGGAGGAACACCAGUGGCGAAGGCGGCUCUCUGGACCGGUACUGACGCUGAGACGCGAAAGCCAGGGGAGCAAACGGG
rnacentral:rRNA from 1 species